rnacentral:rRNA from 1 species
AGCGAACGCUGGCGGCAGGCCUAACACAUGCAUGUCGAACGGACUCUUCGGAGUUAGUGGCGGACGGGUGAGUAACACGUGGGAACGUGCCUUUAGGUUCGGAAUAGCUCCUGGAAACGGGUGGUAAUGCCGAAUGUGCCCUUCGGGGAAAGAUUUAUCGCCUUUAGAGCGGCCCGCGUCUGAUUAGCUAGUUGGUGAGG